UACGUAGGGGGCAAGCGUUAUCCGGAUUCACUGGAUGUAAAGGGAGCGCAGGCGGCACGGCAAGCCUCAUGUGAAAGCCCGCGGCCCAACCGCGGGACUGCAUUGGGAACUACCGGGCUGGAGUGCCGGAGAGGUAGGCGGAAUUCCUAGUGUAGCGGUGAAAUGCGUAGAUAUUAGGAGGAACACCAGUGGCGAAGGCGGCCUACUGGACGGUGACUGACGCUGAGGCUCGAAAGCGUGGGGAGCAAACAGG
rnacentral:rRNA from 1 species